rnacentral:rRNA from 1 species
UGGGGAAUCUUGGACAAUGGGCGCAAGCCUGAUCCAGCCAUGCCGCGUGAGUGAUGAAGGCCUUAGGGUUGUAAAGCUCUUUUGCCGGGGACGAAAAGCUCUGACCUAACACGUUAGAGUCUGACGGUACCGAGUGAGGAAGCCCCGGCUAACUCUGUGCCAGCAGCCGCGGUAAUACAGAGGGGGCAAGCGUUGUUCGGAAUUACUGGGCGUAAAGGGCGCGUAGGCGGCCCUCUAAGUCAGACGUGAAAUCCCCGGGCUCAACCCGGGAACUGCGUCUGAUACUGGAGGGCUUGAAUCCGGGAGAGGGAUGCGGAAUUCCAGGUGUAGCGGUGAAAUGCGUAGAUAUCUGGAGGAACACCGGUGGCGAAGGCGGCAUCCUGGACCGGUAUUGACGCUGAGGCGCGAAAGCCAGGGGAGCAAACAGGAUUAGAUACCCAGGUAGUCCCUGAGCGGGCUGGCAAGGCGCAU